GGAUCCAGACUUUGAUCCUGGCUCAGGAUGAACGCUAGCUACAGGCUUAACACAUGCAAGUCGAGGGGCAGCAUACUGAUAGCUUGCUAUCAGUGAUGGCGACCGGCGCACGGGUGAGUAACGCGUAUCCAACCUACCUGUCACUCAGGCAUAGCCCGGUGAAAACCGGAUUAACUCCUGAUAAUAUCAUUAGAGGGCAUCUGACGAUGAUUAAAGUUUACGGUGACAGAUGGGGAUGCGUCUGAUUAGCUUGUUGGCGGGGUAACGGCCCACCAAGGCGACGAUCAGUAGGGGUUCUGAGAGGAAGGUCCCCCACAUUGGAACUGAGACACGGUCCAAACUCCUACGGGAGGCAGCAGUGAGGAAUAUUGGUCAAUGGACGCAAGUCUGAACCAGCCAAGUAGCGUGCAGGAUGACGGCCCUAUGGGUUGUAAACUGCUUUUAUGUGGGAAUAAAGUCAGGGACGUGUCCCUGUUUGCAUGUACCACAAGAAUAAGGACCGGCUAAUUCCGUGCAGCAGCCGCGGUAAUACGGAAGGUCCGGGCGUUAUCCGGAUUUAUUGGGUUUAAAGGGGGCGUAGGCCGGAGGGUAAGCGUGUUGUGAAAUGCAGUUGCUCAACAUCUGCACUGCAGCGCGAACUGUUCUCCUUGAGUGCGCAGGAAGUAGGCGGAAUUCGUCGUGUAGCGGUGAAAUGCUUAGAUAUGACGAAGAACUCCGAUUGGGGAGCCAGCUUACUGUAGCGCCACUGACGCUGAUGCUCGAAAGUGCGGGUAUCGAACAGGAUUAGAUACCCUGGUAGUCCGCACGGUAAACGAUGGAUGCUCGCUGUGUGCAUUCGUGUAUGCGGCCAAGGGAAACCAUUAAGCAUCCCACCUGGGGAGUACGCCGGCAACGGUGCAACUCAAAUGAAUUGACGG
rnacentral:rRNA from 1 species